UGAUUUCAAGGUCAUUUCUAAUCAUCUAUGUUAAGUGUUUUGACUCAAGGAAACUGGCAUUGCCAUAGAUGAAAUCAGUAAAAGGCAUAUUUAUUUCUUCUUUGCCACAUAACUAGACAAAUGUCAGUUCAAAAAGUUGCGAUUAUUGAGUGUACUUUUUUCAUCUCAGUUACUUUAUGUAUUUUUCAUUUAUUUAAAUUUCUAUACAUGUAUACAGUAAAAUAUGGUCAUAUCCACCCUAACAUCUGUCCUCCAACUUCUAAAAGAUCCCUCUGAGAAUCCCCCGAUUGACUCUAUAGCCCUGGUUGGUCUGGGACUUGCUGUGUAAAUCAGAUUAGUCUAGAACUCACAGAGGUCCACCUGAAUCUGAUCCUGGGCUUAAAAGUCAGCACCACUAAACCAUUCCUCUGUGUGUGUGUGUGUGUGUGUGUGUGUGUGUGUGUGUGUGUGUACGGAAAUAUACAUACACACAUUUUUUGUAUCCCAGUAAGCCCUAUUAGUGCUAGUCAUACAUGCAUACUGUGUGUACAGACAUUCACUGGAUUAUCAGAGUCCUACCAGUGGCUUGUCCCCAAGGAAGAGUGAAUUUCUAUCAGCUGUUGUUAACUGCAGCUCCUCAUUUGAUGCAAGGGCUUAUAAGUUCUUCUCCCACCCAUGCACGAUGUGCAAACAAAUGACACAGCCACCUCUGUCACUUUACUCGGUUAACAUAUACUAAUAAAAUGUUAUGGUAUUUUCAAAUUUAUAUGUAUAUGUAUUGUAUAUGUAUAAUGACACAUUGUAUAUACUUGUAAUGGCUAUUCUUGGUUGUGAACUUGACUAUAUGUGGAAUGAACUUCAAUCCAGAAUUGGAAAGCUCACCUUUGAUCCUGAUUUGAGGCUGGGAGACACAAAUUUCUGAACUGAAUCUUGGCAUGGAGAUCAUGAGGCAAAGUGGCUAUGAAUCUCAGGAGUUUAAGACAAGGAGAUCUCUGAGUUCAAGGUCACCUAGGACAAAGCAAGUCCCAGUUCCAGCUGUGGUGGUACACACCUUUAAUCUGGGACAUACCUUCUGCUGGAGAUUUAUAUAAGGACAUUGGAAGAAGGAAGAGUCUCUCUUUCGUCUGCCUGCCUGAUUUGUAGGACUGAGCCACUGCUAGAUCCUUGGACUCCUAUUCAUACCUGCUGCUGAUCAUUGUUGGGGAGUUGGACUAUAGACUGCAAGUCAUCAACCAAUUGUCUUACUGUACAGAGAUUUCCCAUAAGAUCUGUGUCUCUAAAGAACCCUGUAUGAGACAAUUCUCUUUUAUAAUAUAUAAUUUCUAUUGAUAGAUAAUGUAAUUUAUUAUUUUAUUCAUAAUAUUAUUAUAUUCAUCCCUAUGUUUAUAUGUAAAUAAAACACAGGUUGUAUGCCUAUGAAACAGUAACACACUGCAUACUUGAUGACUGCUGUCUUUUCCCUACUCCCUACUGCAGGGGAGAAAAUGGACCAUUCUCAUCAAUGAAAAAGGUAAAAUAAAAUGUUAACUAUUGGCUGAAACACAGAUGGUUUGCACAUAAAAUUACAUCUUCUUGAUUGCUACUUUAGAAAUUUUUCUUCAUUUCCUGAAGUCACUUUUUAUGAUACAUUACUAUAUCAAAUACUAUCUCAUAGUUUUUAAGGUAAGUUAUUUUUAUUGUUGGUACAAAAGUAUACACAUAGUGUUGUGCAACUUCCAGUAAUAUCCGGGUAGGGCUUCAUGCACAUGACUGUAUGGUUUAAUACUUCCCUAUGUGAUCCAAAGCUCUUUUGUUGUCAUAUUAUGAUCUCUAAGCAGAAUAUUUUUGAUCCUGAAAUUAUAUACAAUACCUAACUUUUUUUAAAACACUUCAUUAGCUCUCUCCAUAAAAUGCUAUUUAAGUGUGUUUGACUGUUCGGUCCCAGGAUAUGAAUUCCAGUAGAGCACUUUCUGGAUAAUAUUUCCUUACAAAGUGUUGUUAACUGCUUCCUCCAAGAAGUUAAUUUCUUGUUUUGAAAUUUAAACCUUAUGUUUAAAUAGAAGAUUAGAGAAGGCAGAUGCUGGAUUAUUUAGUACCAAGCUGGUUUUCUGUCCUGAUAUGGGUAAGGGCUGGUCACUUGAGGUGUUUCUCAUUCCUUUGGAUUUGUAGCUGUUUCAGACUUUAUAAAUAAUCAUUUUGAGUAUUACAAGUCUAUGGGCAUUUUCUCACCAAAUUGUCCAUUUUUACAGGAGUAUUUUUCUUACAAGUUUGGAACCAUAAAAUAGAAACUUUCCUAACUAGUCAAGCUACUAGGGUGUAUGUGGGCAGGAUUUUGCACAUUUCCUGCUGUGUGAUUUAAUUGUGCUGUUCUGACCAUUUUUUUUGCAUAGGCUGCUGGCCAGUAUAAACUGGAAAUCUAUGUUAAGUCGUUGUCCAAGGAGGUAUUGCAGAUGUGGUCAGUAUUUGUUUUAAAGGAAACAGUGAAAGGCAUUCUUCACUCGAGCUUUGUGAAAUACUGUGCAGAUGCUUAUGGCUGUGGAUGCUGUGUGGUGUGAGGAAUGCUGCUGUGCACUGACUGUGUGGUGUGAGGAAUGCUGCUGUGCACUGACUGUGUGCUGUGAGGAAUGCUGCUGUGCACUGACUGUGUGCUGUGAGGAAUGCUGCUGUGCAUUGACGCUGCCUUUUUUCUUUUCUCCCUACACCUGCAUCCUUCUGGUGGCUCAGGUUGGACAACUAGGUGCCCAUGACCAACUCCUCAUUGUGGAUGGAUUUAGUCUGGUUGGACUUUCUCAGGAAAGGGCAGCAGAACUCAUGACUAGUACCAGUCCCAUGGUUACACUGGAAGUUGCAAAUCAAGGCAUCCUCUUUCACUGCCUGUCCACCUUUCUUACCCAGCCAUUGUCCUCCAUGGUGCACAGAGGUAAGAGCUAGUGACUCAAGCCAGGUUAGCCAACAUAUAGUGAUCCUGUACUGAGAUAUGUCUGCUCCUAAAAGUUAUCAAAAUCUGGGGCUGGAAAGAUUGUUCAGUAUUUUACAACACCAGUGUUAGCCCAAAACUGCCCGAAACUCUAAUUUCAUGGGAUUUAAAGCACUCUUCUAAGUUCUCUGGAUUCGUGUGCACACAUGCUGAGCAAACACUCAUACACAUAAAUUAUUUUUAUAAAGAGAGCCCCUAAAAUUCCCAUGUAGUAGCUCCUACCACAGCUCUUGCUCAGCUCUUCAAGGAAGAAGUCAGUUGAGACAGAGUGAAUGAUGCUGAGAAAUACUUCUGGAUCAUGAUUCAGAUCAGAUCUAAUGGUACGGUUUCCUAGAUAUAUUCACAGUCUGUUAAGUGCAGUAUUGUGAACCCUCUUCUGACCCUGCCUCGGCUUUGGAACCUGAACACCCUAGCCCUGACCUUUCUAGCUACAGUAUCAACAACAAUAUCAGUGUCUGACAGUCUAGAAUCCUGUAUACUAAAGCGUAGAACAGGAACCAAUCCUGGCUAGACCAUGUGUUGGCAUGUUAAAGCAGAACACCAUUUACAAACUCAAAGAGGGACGUGGGUAACAAAUGAGUCCCAGGUGAGCAGACAGGAAGACUAAACUGUGAACAGGUGUGGAUAAUCACACCAGGGGACAGCACCAUGUGAUGCUGUCAUUCUGAUGGAUAAUAAUAUGUGUGUUAUCAAGUGAGAGAAGAGAAGUUGAGUGCUUUUUAAAAAAUACUCUAAAAUGGUUACUUUGUUAUUUACAAAUUAUAAGUCAUAUUUGAGAAAAUAAAAAAGGUCAAUUUCUCCCAUAGAUACAUACUAUGUAAAUGAAAAGCUUUUCUAGACAAUAUAUGUAAAAGCUUUUGAAAAUGUUCAUAUAAAGCUAUUUGUGGUGGCAUGUGCCUUUAAUGCCAGCUCUAAGGAUGCAGAAAGAGGCAGAUUUCUGUGAGUUUGGGGUCCUCCUGCCUGUGUACUGAAUUCCAGACCAGCCUCAAAUACUUAGUGAGACCCUGGGCUAUGGUUUCUUCUGAUUGCUUGGUUGUUUUCUUUUCUAGGCUGGUCAAAGAAUGUAUAUAAAAGAUCACCCUAUUAUACCAAGAGCAGUUAUUAAAUAUAAGAAUUUUAGAUGCAUCCUUUGAAGCUCUUUAUCUUAGAAAGAAUGAGGGAGAGAGAAUGAGUGAAUUGGCUUUGGUUUCAGUUUCAGAUCGUUAUAGCUCAGGUAAACCCAGAGCACAGAGUGAAGUUUUUAUAAGUUUAAUUUUUCUUGGAUAUUUUAUGUAUUUACAUUUCAAAUGUUACCCCCUCCCAAUGCUCUCCCAACCCGCUCCCUCUGCUUCUAUGAGUAUGAUCCCGCUCCCACCCACCCAUUCCCAUCUCAGUGCCCUGGCAUGAAGAUGCUUGCAGCUGAACAUUACACUGAAUAUGGGGACCCCAAUGGAGGAGUUAGAGAAAGAACUGAAGGAGCUGAAGGGGUCUGCAAUCCCAUAGGAAGAACAACAAUAUCAACCAACCAGACCCCACAGCUACCAGGUAGGAAACCAUGAACUCAUGAGAACACAAGGAGGGAUCCAUGGCUCCAGCCACUUAUGUAGCAGAGGAUGGCAUUAUCCAACAUUGAUAGGUGGAAGAGUAAAGGUUUUGAGCUCUAUAAUAAUUCAGCUCAAAACGGCUCCCCAGAGAGUCCUCAAGAGCCUUGGACAGAGCACAGUCAUCCAACGAAGCUGCCUGGUAAAGACAGUCUGAUGAAAAACAGAGCAGAUCACCCUUUCAGCCCCAAUGUGACAAGUAAGAAGAGGCAUUCUCUAAGUCACCUUGUCACCCAGAUCAUUGUUUAUACUUUGAUCAUUGUUUUUUGUGUCCCUUGGCCAGCUAGAAUACAGUUUUCAUAGAGGUCUCAUAUUAGUCCAAAAUUAGGAUUUUAUUUGGAAAACCCUUGACCUUAUCGAUCAAAAUGCACUGUAAAUGUGUCUUCAAAAUGGAUCGGGUUUCCAAGUUAGUGGAGAUCAUUUUUACACUUAAAAGAGUUGCUAACAAAGUAGUGAGGAUGGAGUAUACUGAAUAGAGACCCCAACGUCCAAAAGGCUUCAACCUCCAAAAGGCUUCACGUGUUUACUCUCAUGUCUCUAGCCCAGAUCUCAUCUGGUCCUGGAGAAAGUCCUUCUCCUGGUCUGUGGCGUCAGGAGACUUGUAGGGGUGCGUGAAGCCGACUUCUGGUACAUCUUUGUCUCUGGCUCAGUGCUAAACAUCCUGCCCUCAGUGUAUGAUGGGUAUGCCAUGGCUCCUGCAUUUAAAGGAAUGUUGUUAUGUUUAUUUUACUUGUUAUUUAAUGUGACACUUGGGUUUUUAACACUAUUUCUAAUAGAUCAGCCUCCUAUCCCUGGAGAGAAGUGUGCAUAUACCACUAGAACAGCAGCUAACAUCUGUCUUCACUGGAGAACUCUGCACUGAGGUCUAAGAUGAGCUGGAACACUUUCUUACUUGUGAAAUAUCUGACUUCUUUGAUACAGUUCUCAACAAAUUACAUUAACUAUCAUUCCUGAAUUUUGGUCAUUUAAGUUUAUUUCUAUUACACUAGUCAAAUAAAUUAAUGAAUCGGGGAACAUGAGAAUUAGUGUAAAUGAGUAAAUAAGAAAAUUUAAGAUUUUUUUUAUUGAAAGCAUAGGGUCAAAAUUACAUUUUUUAUCAUGGCUUUUAAAAUAUAUUCUUUAAAAAACCAUUUAUUUAUUUAUUUAUUUAUUUAUUUAUUUAUUUAUUUAUUUUAUAAUCCAAUAUUAGCCCUUCCUGUCUUGCCAAUAACCCCUCAUACAAACCCGUCUAUCACCUCUUCCUGAGAUGGCAAAGCUCCUUUUGGGGUGUCAACCCCCAUGAUUGCUUUUUUAAAGAUUGUAAAACAGAUCCCCGAGGACAAAGUUCACCUUUUAUGCAGUUUUAUGAAUCUCAUUGUUUAUUUCUUUACAUUUCACAAGAACAGACCCCUCUACGUAGUCCUGAAGCUAGGAGCUAAAUUGCAGGAGUGACAAUGCCACAAACAGCAUGCAUCAGUGUAUAGUAAAAUCUUUUUAUUCCUUUGUACACACAGGUACAGCUGGUUACUUGGAGAGUGAGCCAUAAAGCAGUGUCAGGUCUGGUUAUACACCCAUUCCUCAGUUUUCUUACCUCCUCUGUGAGAAAGAAACAUGCAUGAAAUUUUGUUAAUAUCUCUGGUGAGUCUCUGAAGUAUUAGAUCUUCGUCUUUUCUUUUCUCGGUGUGUUACCCCUUCGAUGGAAGAACUUCAGGAAGAGUUUUACCAACUUGAGCUGCAUUGAGUAGUGGCCAGCAUGGAUCUCUAGUGUGACAAUGAUAUGUGGAUCCAGAGCUCCUCAGUGGACUCUAUGACAUCCAGCCAGGAGCACCUGAAAUAUUCCUCCAAGUCAGUUACCCCUGCUUCCACUCUACCAAGAGUGGUCCUGGCCAUUGGAAAACCCAGCAGAGGUGCUGCCCACCCCUGUGACUGUCUUCCAGCCCAUAUGAACAGACCUCCCUCCACCACCUCCUCCACCACAUGUCCACCUACACCAGUGGUUUUGAUGGCAUUUCAGUGGCUUUGCCCCUCCCACCACCUUCUGCAAACAAGGCAGGAUCCCAGUCUGCUCAGGUGGCUGCUGGCUAGCAAAAAAGAAGGAGGAGCAGCAGUGGUGGUCUGAGAUAUAGAAGGCCUGCCUGGAUAAGGAAGCAGAGAGGAAGCACGGGGAGCAGGAGAAGAAUCUGGGGCAGAUGCACUCUCAUUCCCUGAUCCCUGCUUCCUUAUCUCUUUUGGCCACACCGGCCCAACCAGGAAAACCUUCCACACUGCAGAGGCCCCAAGAAACAGUUACUCUGGAGCUGUAGCCCCAGCAGCAGCCCCCCACUAUUGAGCACAGGAAUCUGCAGUAGAAAACUAUCAGUAAAGAGGAGUUGUCCUGUGGGGAUAGUCUGUCUCCAGACCCAUGGAAACAAGAUGCCAGGGAGAAGCUGGAGAAGCAACAGCAAAUGCACCUUGUGGACAUGCUAAGCAAGGAGAUCCAUGAGCUGCAAAACAAGGGGGACGGUAGUGCAGAGGAGAGUGACUGCCUGUGGAAGCUUAUGCUGGAGUGGCUGUUUUGGAAGAGACUUCAGGCUAUAUUUCUUGUGUUUCUCCCAGGUUCAUUUCUUGAACCUGUUCUUGAAAACUGUUCAAGCAGCCCAACAUUUGACAUUUUCAAAGUAGAAAUUCAUAACAACUAUGUUUUUGACAUUCUGGCCUUAGAUAAUUCUACAGUGAUGUCUAUGGUUAAGUGCCAGGCAGUGAGAACCCAGGAGUGACGAUCAGAGGUACACAGGAUGACCUGAAGGUGAGGUGCUCCUGGAGCCCAGUGUCCUGAGUGCAGGUCCUCAACCUUACAGCUGCCCACUCCAGCUGUGCCUGGGAUGGAGCCAGUGCUACCGACCUAGGAAGCAGCUCAGGGACUGUGCUUACUAUGUUCCCCAUUGGUUCAGUUCAUGACAAAGGUUAAUCUGAAGUAACAGCAGGAAUUUUAGCCCGCUGGAAUUCUGUAUCUGAGAAAGUACAUGUCUUUAGGAACAUCAAGAUGCUCACGUCUAACACGUUUCAGCUUUAUAUGUCACAGAUAUCAUAAUAAAGCUGUUUAUAACCUUUUUCUGUUUGGGGUAGCUCAAGGGUAGAAUGUCCUGACCCUGAGUAUUAUAUCUAAUUACCCAGAGAGAGAGAGAGAGACAGGAAGGAAGGGAGGGGGAGAGGGAGGGACAGAGACAAGGAGAGAGAGAGAGAGAGAGAGAGGAACAAAAAGUUUGUAAAAAUAAGCAAAACUUAAAAAUAUAUAAAUAACUGUAUAAUUAUUAAAAGUCUAUAUGAGAGUCAAUGUUUAUCACCCAAAAUUGAGGAAGGGGCUUUGAGAAACGAAUUAUCCGCCUCCAACCUCCAAAAACAUACACACACUCAAUCAACAACACGUCUAAUUAUACCUGGAAAUACCCAUAUUUUAUAGAAUGCCAUAAUGGAAAGUGAGAAGCAUCAUUUUCGAUAAGGGUUGCCAAUAUGUUCUUUUUCCAAGGUGUGUGCAGCCGUGCCAGUCUUCCUCACCACGGGAUGGAAGAGGUCCAUGACCUGUGAGCCUAGAGGUAACCAGGGGAUCUUUGCUCCAUUCUGAGACUGAGAGGCAGGAUGCCCACUCAAGGGUCCAUAGCAGGGAAGGUUUUCAAGCUACGUACAGUGCUGGAAAAGCCUACACAAGGCAUACAGUUAGCAGUGAUGUGUUUGCAGGGAGUCCAAGGAACCAGCUUUUUACUGAUGCAGGUGGGCAAGCAUUUAUCAUCCACCUGCCACUCUGACAGCAAUAAGAGUAUUGCUUAAGUUUUGUUUCAUAGAUUUGAUCACUGAAAAAAUACCAAAAAUUGGACCCUUAACGUUGUAGCAAAUAGAAUAGUGGAUGCUAAGACAGGGACCUUUGACUCUUCUAACACCAUUGUCUAUUUCAGAGCAAGAAAAGAGAGGUAUCAAUGGACAGCAGUCUGCUUCCCCCAUGAGUGCUCUACCACUGAGUUAGUAGCCUUAGCCCUCCUCACCUUUAGAUAAAGGGUGUCACUAAGUUGUCCAAGCAGACCUGAAACUCAUGCUGUAGACCAGGCUAGCUUUGAACUUCUGAUCCCCCUACCUACUGUGUGUCUUGAGUGUCUGGGGAUUACAGGCCCAUUUCUCUACAGCUGAGCAGCUUGCUUGUUUGCUUCCUCCUUUCUUUACUCCUCCUCCUCUUCCUCCUCUUCCUCCUCCCCCCUCUCUCUGUCUCUUUCAUUCUUUCUUUCCUUUCCUUCAUUCUUUCUUUCAUUCUUUAUCUUUCUUUUCUUCCUUCUUUCAUUCAUUUGUUCCUUUCUUUUAAGAUUCAUUUACUUUAGUGCUCUAUCUGCAUGUACAUCUGUGUGUCCAAAGAGGGCAUCAGAUCUAAUAAUACAUAGUUAGUAUCUAUGAUAUGGUGACUGGAAUCGAACUCAAGACCUUUGAAAGAGCAGCCAUGCUCUUAACCACUGAGCCUGCUCUCCAGCCCCAGCCUAUUUUCUUAAACUUACCACACUUGGUUCACAUGAGAAUUGUCUGUCAGAUGAGUAAGAUAAGGUUACCCUGAGCGCAGAGUGCUUAUCCCUUGUCAGAUCAUCCAGGGGGUUACCUCUGACUCAUGCUGUCCUUUUCCAGUUCUGUCUCCAGUGCCCUGGAGUUUGUGGGCCUCAUCCACAGAGGUAUGCAACUCAGAGAACAUGGCCCCUAAGGCUACAGCCUCAUUGUAAAAGCCAGCGAUGUCAAUCACAGCAGGUUAGAUGUCAGCCACCUGAGUCAUGCAGUUUGACCACAUGAGACUCACCCUAGGACUUAAAUGCAGUGCGUUCAAGUUCUCACAUGCUAUGCUGGACAGCUGCUCUGGGCCUCCACAUCAUAAGCCAGAGUGCAGAGCCCUGGGCACAGCAGGACACACAGGCUAGUUUUCACUCCUAUGGAAAGCCAGUAUAGAUGGACAUUCUCCAUCUUGCUACAGUGACACUUCUGUAAGGGACGAGACUGCUUAGGGCAGCAUUGUCUGUUUAGUAGGCACAUCCACCUCCAGGACUUGCCCCCUAUGGACAGUGCUUGAGCAAAGCCUGCCUCAUGGUGCUUAGGGAGUCUCAGUUGUCUGCCAAUGGAUUCCCAGACAUUCAGCUCUGUCUGAUGAUUGACAGACCUUUGUGACCCUUCUGUUUUCCACUCUCCGGACCACAGCCCCAAAGUCCAGCCAAGCUGACCUUCACGAGAAAGCAAGGGCAGGUAUUUGUGGAUUACCACUGCACUGGGCUUCAUCUCCAGUGGACCCACCCGACCAUGCUGGGCAGCUCCUGGGGGGCAGGUUUCAGCACAUGGACUGGGCCAGCAGUGUGUAUGCAGGUGAACGGGGGACAACAUCUGCCCAGUCAAGAAUGCCAGAGUCAUCAAAGGGCAACACAGUAGAGAGAGCUUGUGAACUGUCAACAGAAGGCCAUGUUAUACCCCAUGAUGGGCCUUAUGUUGUUCUGUGUCUAGAAAAAGGGUUACCGGCAGUUAAAAGGACUGUGGUAUCCAACAAGGGACCUCAGUGACUACCAGGCCAUGGUGCCUGUCUGGGAAGUGGGUGGGUCCCAUGGUCCCUCCCAAGAACCACCUCUGUUUGCCUGUUCCUGUCUGGAUAGCAUGCUCACAAGCGACUGGACUGCUUACUUUACAGCUGUGUCUUGGUGACUGGGUUUGCCCUGAAGGAGGCCUUCUUUAUCAAUUAGAGUCUGGCUGUCCUAGCAGAUGCCCUUGUGGCCUUGUCAGAGCACUGUGACCACAUCCCACAUCUGAACAGCAAGCUAGUCAACAGGAUGCUCUAUCGGUUUGUCUUCCUCAGAGACCCCAAAAUACAAGGGGCAGAGAGCUGGGCUUUAGGGAGCUACCACAGGCAUGAUUGCUCUUUUUUGUAAGCCGCACCACCUCUGGCCGAGUUACGGUUCUGCCAGGCCCUCCCAUGUUCUGUCUUCAGCAUCUUUGUGUGUCAAUGAAGCUUACACUGUGUAUUAACUGUGCUGCACGUUGGCCUAGAGGCUGGGCUUUCCUCUUGAUUUUCCAGCAAGACUACAGAGUUCCCGGGGGAGACUCUCAUCAUGGCUCUCCAUAUUCUGACAGGCACAGUCUGUGGAUGUCUCUAAGGUGUUGGAGAUCGGACCCCACUGAGGGGUGAGAGGCUUUCAGUGGCUUAUAGACCCAAGGCUUGGGCAUGAUGGCUUUUUUUUUUUUUGGUUCUUUUUUUCGGAGCUGGGGACAGAACCCAGGGCCUUGCGCUUCCUAGGUAAGCGCUCUACCACUGAGCUAAAUCCCCAGCCCCGCAUGAUGGCUUUUAUUGUGUGUUUGGUAGCAUGUAUGCCCUGCUGCAAGUGUAGACAGACACUCCCCAUGCUUGUAGUCCCUGCUUGGAGUGUGGGUACACUCUGUCCAUGCAGACAGCUGUCUCCGCACACACAGAUGCCAUUUUCAUGAUUUACGCCUGUCAUCUUUGAUGUUUCUUUUAAUAGGCAGUCAUGUAAAGUCACUAUGAUUUUGUGGUGACUUUCUUUCCCCAGCCUUCAGAUGAAUAUAGGAAAGAGACUCUGGAAUCUGCCUGGGCUCCUCCUUAUGCCCACACCUUGACCCCACUGAACUCUCUUUGGCAGAGACAUGGCAGAGCCUGGCCUUUAAUUGUCCUGUUCAUUCCCUAUUGAUUGUGACCACAGUCUGGAGCUCUGCACAGCCUGGUGUCCAGAGAAAAUUGGCAUAGUUCCCCACAAUGUCUCCACAGGCUCAGAGGAAGGACAUAAAUAGAAUCUUUAUGGGGCCCAAGUGGCUUCUCAGGGUCAGCCAAUGGUCUUGGCUCCUUCUUGUCUCUGAAGACACAGGGCACAAGUCCUGACCUCCAUGCACCUUUAGCUGCUGCACACACUAAGGAUGAGUCCAUUGGCUUCUGCUGCUUCUGGGAGUCCUGAAAACCACAAUCCCUCAACCAAGGGGACUAGUGGGGGACAAGUGAGCUCCCUGAGGACCAGAAACCCCACCUGGGUUCACUGCUAUGUUUACCAAAAUAAUGAAGAGCUGCUGUCAUAGCAGGCCAUGCUCUGGUGGGAAGGGCAGACAGGCACAUCCAGACCCACAGAAGGCUGUACUGUGGCUGUGCUGGGCAUCCCAGGGGCGGGGUGGGGUUGGGGACGGGAGACAGUUGGUCCAUGGGUACCAUGGGUAUACAUGGACACCUAGGCACAUAAGGGGGUAUGCAUAUACACGAAAAAACUCCCUCUCACACAGAAGUUGGCAUGAUGUAUAGAAAAACAAGUCCAUCCUGAGUGUGGGCUUCACUUUAGAUAUUAAGGUCCAACGUUAAAACAGGAAUGGGUGAAGACAAGGAGCUCUGUGUUCCCUGGGACCAGAAGGAACAGAGUGGCUGUGCUGACUCAGAUGAAAUAAACUCUCAAUCACAGUCUGUGACAGCCAGGUCACAGGACCCAGGCUGCUGUGUUAUGUGUGAGCACCCAGUGCAGCCAGAAGCUAAGUACUGAGCACUGACUGGCCCAAGCCCAGAAAGGGUCUCUGUUUUUCAGAGUGCUGGGGGACAGUGCAGUGUGUAGCAGUUUCCUCUUGAAGACUCUUCUGGGGUUUGAGUUCCCUGUAGAGGACCCUCAUGGCUGCAGACACUAAGCCUGGGAGGAAAGAUCCUCAUCUGUAGAGUUCAUUGAAAGGCCUGAGAGCAGAAAAGCAAAGAAGCAGCAAAAUGUGCCACCUCUGCUCACUGUUGUUCAGCUUCUGCCUUUGCAGUUGAGCUCAGGUACCCUGGAGUCCUCCCUAGCCUGAGUGAGUGAUUUCAAGCCAAGUCACAUCCUCCUGGUUUGUAGUAUCAAACGCAGCCCAGUUUCAGCCCAGGUAAGCUGUGAAUACCAGGUAUGCCUUGCUGUCUGCAUUGUAGGGGAACUGUUGAGCCCCAAAGGACGCAAGGGCUACAAGGUAAGGAAUCAUAGGACUGGGCUAGGCCUCGAAUCCAAGUUCCCUUCUCCCCCUGCCUGGUAACUGGUUCUUGGUGUGUAUAGGGGACAGAAAGAUAGGGUCCUAUGGGAGCACUGGCACAGGCCUGCCCAAGCAUGGCUUAGGGAUCCUCACAAAAUCCUAGCAUUUGAUGUGUCCCCAUGUUUGUCUACCACCCUCAGCCAUGUGCCAUUUUCUGUGCCACCUGCAAGGGACUCUAAAUAUCUUCCUACAAAAGGUGAUCAAGGAGGGGCUGUACAAGGACACUUGGUGGAUCUGUGGUGAAGUUAACAUGGACCAAUAGAUUAGAGGGCCAGAGCCCCAGGACUAAUGCUGGGUGGACACACUCCUCUGACAUCCAACACAGAGAUCUUUGUACAGAAAUCAAGAGAAGUCUUAUCUGAAUAGCAGUGCAGAGCACCUCAGGCUCAGGGACUCAGGACUGACACCCAUAGAAUGCUGUAGAGGAGCCGUUUGUGAUUCAAGGGCUCAUCUGCCUGGAUCCCUGAGCCUCUAGAGAUGAGCAGAGGACUGGGCUGUGGCUGGUUAUGGGCUCAGACAGGGAGGUGUUAUGGAGCUUGUUUUUGGCUCCUGGGAGUAGAGCAGUUUUUCUUUCCCUGUCCCUGCUUUUUGAACUUUUCUUUCCUUGGGAAAAUGGAAGGACUGGAAGAAGUCUGUCUAUGGAGAGUGAGGCUGGCUGGGAAACUGCUCGCUGUUCUCCAUUGUCAUCCUGCUGGGGGUUUGGGGUUGUUGGCAGGUUAGCCUCUCCAUUUAAUCCAUGCAUCUCUGUCUCUUCACUCCGUGACAUGGAUGAACAAGUCCUACCUGUAGCUGCCACUCCAGGGCAUAAGUCCCUCAGUGAGUGAAUUCCAGAUGGUUCUGUCUAGAGCAGCAUGGUCCAGGGUCGUUGCUCAGUAUGUAGGUACAUGGAAGAGGAUACUGCACGGCAUCCACACACAUUUCAUAUAACAUCAAUCCACAUACUCUGGUACUAAUCGGUUCUAUUUACACCUUUCGCCAUUAUUGCUAUUCACUGUACUGUGAAGUGUGAAUUUUUAUUAUAUUUCACUUCUGCAAAGGAAGAGACAGAGUUUAGCACUGGAGAUUCCCUAGGGACUGGCUGGAAAGGAGGCCUUGACACACAUGUGUGCUUCUGGGAAAAAGCUCUUUCAUAGGAUGCCUCCAUGAGUUCCAGGAUGUGUGGAGGGCUCUGUGCCCUAUCCACGGUUGACCUCAAUAUAUUAAUGGGAGCUGAUGCUUCUCUCUAAUAGAACAGUGCCACCCUCCUUGGAGAUGUCUGUGAUUGUAUAUGCUUAGCUCUAGAGUAUCAUUAUUAGGAGACUUUGCCUUGUUAAAGUAGGUGGGUCACAUUGGCAUGGCUUUAAGACCCUUUUCCUAUGCACAUGCAAGCCAAUCUUCCCCAAGCAGCCUUCAGAUGAAGAUGUAGAACUCUCAGUCUCUCUGGCACCAUGCCUGCCUGGAUGCUGCCAUGCUCCCAGCUUGAAGAUAAUGGACUGAGUUUCUGAACCUGCAAUCCUGUGUUCAUUAAUGUUGUCCUUAUAAGAGCUGCAUUUGUUGUGGUGUGUCUCUUCUCAGCAGUAAACCCCUAACUCAAACAAUGUCCAUGUUCCCUUCUUCUGCCUCCAGACAUUAGAAGCUUCCUACAUGAGCGGCAUUCUCUUGGGAUAUGGCCCUAAUUGGCGCUAGGCUGUCUGCUUGAUCUGAGAGUGCUAGGACAUCCUGCUCCUAAGGGCAUUGUUACCGCUCCCUUGCAAUACUGUGAAUAGCAUCAGCAGGCUCCUGCUCUGUUACCCCCUGAACACAAUGCUGUCUUCUCCAGGAGUGGAUCCAACAGCUCUCAGAACCUCCUCAGGAACUAUGUAUUUCCCAAGGAUUACCUGCACUUGCUUACACACCCCUAUCCUGUGUUCUGAAAACUUUUCAAAGCCCAUUCAUCUGAGACUGGUGAGUUCAGGACAGUAGUCCCAAGUGUCUUGUCCUACCCUGACAGUUCACUCUCAUGAGGCAUCACCUGCGCUUGACAGAGGAUUUUCCCAAGGGGCAUUGGAUGUGCAGGAGAAUUGUGUGUCGUGAGUCUUUUCAGAGCAGCAAAGGAGGACAUCAAGGUCCCAUUUGCUUUUGGUUUUUGAACUCAUGGUCCUGGCACGGUCUUGUUGGUAUUUAGGUCCCUGUCAGUCCUGAAUUGAAUUUUAGCAUGGGAACCCAGGGCAGUUGUCUUCAAAGAUAUUCCUAGCAUGGACCACAUCUUCACCUCACCAGACAUAAAGCACGACAAACACCAGGAGGCAGAAAACCCUCAGGGACUGGAACUGGCAUGUUCAAACACUCUGGCUUGACCUUGGCCAACACAGGUUCAGAGAACAGCCUCUAUGUAGGAAGAUCUCCUUCCUCCUCUCAGAGUUUACGACAUGUAGACUUAAGCUAAGCUGCUGGCACACAUGUGAGCAGAGGCACCAGCCUAGGCUUGUUCAAUAUCAAAGCCUACCUGCCACCCCUGUAUCAUAGUCAUAGCAGCACAUCUCAUGAGAAUUCUAGGGGUGGUGAUAUUCUGGGUGAAUAUUCUGUAUUCUGCUGCCAGUUACUUUGCUUCCACAUGUCCAACUGUGAGAAGGGAUUGAGAAAGGGAAGGUGAUGAAGUCCUGCUAUUAUCUACUUGGUGCCACCAAAGACAAUGUGGUCUUACUGGCAAGAUCUUUGCAUUAGAUUUUAUAAAAAGUGACCUCAGGACAGUAGGUACUCUCAAGAAGGUGCAGCAUGGUGGGUACAAUGGAACAGGAUCCCUGAGGUUGGUUCAGUGGGCCAGGGUCCCUGGGGUAGGAGCAAUGGGGCAAGAGCCCUUGGGAUGGGAUCUUGUAGUAGUGACCCUGUGGAAUGUGUAACUGGCAGGGACCCUGGGGUAGGUGCACUGUGACGUGCACCCAAGCUGGAAUGUUCAGACAGGUGUGUGUUUGCUUCAUGCAGCUGCUGUCUGAAGUAGAGAACACUGUCAUCUGCCCCAGAGGGGAUGUUGGGAAGUCCUUCCAAGAAUCCCUCAGCUCCUAACUGAGAAGCUAUACAUUCCACAGAUGGGGCUUUAUUGAGAUGAGCAGAUUCUAAGGGGGCUGCCUUGAAUGAACAGCCAAAGAAAGCAGAAAUGAAGAACAAGCAAUUGCAGCAGACAUGUUCAGUGUGUUUUUGCUCAGAAAAUUAGGACUGGAAGAAACUGAUUAAGUCAAAUCACUUCUCUGUCUAUCCAUCCAUCCACCCACCCACCCACCCACCCAUCCAUCCAUCCAUCCAUCCAUCCAUCCAUCCAUCCAUCCAUCCAUUUCCCUGAGGGAAGUCAGCUUUUAUUUCUGAGAAGGUCAAAGCAGCGCUCCCUUGUGGUGACAAUGAGGAUUGCAGGCAGUGAGAUAAGUGGGUAUUUAUUUAUUUAAUUUAUUUAUUUAUUUAUUGCAUGAUCUGCGAUAGACUGCCACUUGUGGCCAGUCCCCAUCUGCAUUGGCUGUACCACAAACCCAGUCUCAGUGUGACACAGAAGGGGCCUAACUAAGGGACACUGUAUAAUAACAUACUCUGGACUGCAGGUCAGUCAAGGCCUGUGUUUAGGAGACUUGUGGACAGAAUGAGUGUUUGUGAGGCUGGACUUAGACUCUGUGGAGGGCUCAGGUCACCUGACUGUCCUGAAGCUUCCCACUGUGAUUUAUUUCCCUCCUGCAGAGUCAGCCACCUGAGCAACUGCAUUUCCUGGUUAUCCCCUAAUCCUCUUACACUGUGUAGAGUGUUCAAUCUCAGGAAGGACCUGGGAAUCUGAGAGACACUACUGAGCCCCCUGGGCCUGGCUGACUCAACCUGAGGUUGAUGUGAGCCUCCUCAUUUUGCUCACCCACCAGGGACCUCAAAAGUCAGCAGUGAGCUUGCUGAGAGGCCAGGAGCCUCCAUAGUGGCCCAAGAGCAACUGUCCUCUUUUACAGGUUCAUCCACAGAGCAUGUAAUUCUGAUUGGUGCAACAGUCUGGAAGAGUGAAAGACGUCAUCUCCCAAGGGCAAGUGCUGUGCUAGUGGACACUGAGGAGCUGCACGGAUCAGACCCUUCCCCAUCCUUCUCCAGCCUCUCUUGUUCUUCCUUGAGAUGUUUCCUACAGAUCUGAAAGAUCCAGGCAGUCCAAGACAUGCAUUUGCAUUUAAUCUCAGGACAUUUUACUCCUUGCUCUAAAAUUAAGACCAGGUAAUUCAUUUGUUUGUUUGUUUAUUUAUUUGUUAUAUGUAAGUACAAUGUAGCUGUCUUUAGAAACACCAGAUACAGCAUUAGGUCUCAUUUGAGAUAUUUGUGAGCCACCAUAUAGUUGCUGGGAUUUGAACUCUGGACCUCUGAUAGAGCAUUCAGUGCUCCUAACCACUGAGCAAUUUUUCCAACUUCCAGACUAACUUUUUAAAUUCCCAUAAUGUAUUCUUUAUUCAGGUUACAUCCUGAUCCCAGCCACUCUCCCUCUGCCUGUCUUCAGGGUAGGGAGAUUACAGGAAGGCCCCAAUUUUCAGCAGGGGAGUGGGUUUGCUUCCAGAGCAGGCAGCGGGGUCGUAAACAUCUCACUCUCAGGGAAUUGGGAGCUUUCCCAUAUAAGAAUUUUCUGUGGUGGAAGCUCAGUUUGCUGUCUGGCUUCUUUUUAGUUUUCUCUUGCUUCUUCUGGAAUGAGAAUUUCUUUAUUAAGAGCUUAGAGGGUGUUUCUGGCCAGACUAUGUUCAUGUGCAGGCCCAUCCCUGGACGGCUGGAUGCUUAGACUCUCCUGGGGAGACCUGUUUCCUUUCUGCAGCAGGCCAGCUAGUAUGAGAACUAAAGGACCCCAUCAGAUGUUCACAGUGCACAACACACAUACACAAACUCACGCAUGCACACACACACACACUAUACAAAUAUAUAUAUAUAUAUGUAUGUAUAUAUCUUCCAUAUUCCUAAACCCACACAUCAUACACAUCACGUGUCAGAUGUGCAUGCACAUUACAUAUAUCACAGACAUAUAUACACUGUGCACAUCACACGUGACAUUUGUACCUAUAUGCACACAUGCAUGCACACCUCACUCUACACACAUGCCUGCCAUGCACACAUGUAUAUAGAAACACCAAAAUGAGUGAAGAGAUUUUUAAAGGAGGCUUGUGCAGUCAGGGUAUGAUAGGCUUGGGCAUGACUACCCUCUGUGUUACAGUCAACUGCGGUCUGGUCUUUUAGCUACUUUCACAACAGGGCCAGUGCCUGUGUAGAAGGAACACCAAGGCCACAUCUCAGGGAAGUGAACUGAGGACUCAGAAGAGGCACAGGCCCUGGAGUAUGGAAAGGCAGAGCAUGGUAUGCAGAUGUAAAUGCUGUAAGGCACUCUGGCUUGUCCACUCCAAUAGGCACGAUAGUAAGCAUGAGGCCAGUAGAUGUCGUAUCCGUGGGAAGAACCCUCUGGAUGCCAUGUUAGCAACUUAGGGUGUUUCUUGUUUUCAGCCCAUGCUGUGGCCAAGGAAUCAGGAGGUGUGGGGUAGAGAGGACACUUGAGCACCUACCCUCUAUGUUGUGAACCUAGUGGAUGUUUUUCUGCCCUUCUAGACCUGUGAGUGGCCUGUGCCAGCACAGCAGAAUGGGGACAUUCCCAGUUCCACAGGAUACUGCAGGCUUGGGGACUGGGUACUUAGGCUUUUGGCUGUGCACCACACCACCUUCCUGACCAAUGGUACAUUAAGUCAACCAGUGCUUGCAGAAUGCUUGAGACAACACAAAUGUCUCCUUUCUAACUGGAAACAACAUAUAAAGGUCUAAUACAAGUCAGUAAUGUGUCUCUGAUUGUCCUGUGGCACUGGGUGAAUUAAGGACAGGAUGGAGAGCAUGCCAAAGAGUCUAACUCGUUCUGUCCCAUCUUCCUUCUGAAUGCAGGUCUCCAGGAUCCAGUGCUCACACGGACUCAGGGCUGCUGCUCAGGGAACCAGCAAACCCUGUUGCUCUGACCAUGCCACCGUGAAGGGCGGUCUCUUUCUGUUCCAGUCUCUGCGGUGCCACUGUGUAUUAGAAAGGACAUCUUUCAAAGGAGGGGUUGGUGAAGGGCAAUUUACCUCCUCUUUCAGAGAUACAACUGUCUGAGGAGAGGCUAGGAGGUGUUGCAGAACCAAAAUAUAGAGCUAGAGGGAUCAGAAAAUCGAGGUUGGGAGGAAGGUUAGCUCAAGGCUGCAUGUCCCUGAACACCUUGGUGGGGGUGAAGGGUGACUUAAUAGUCACUAGUAGCCCAGUGCCUGUCAGUACUCUACAUGACCUUGUAGCCCUUGCUUCUUCUGGUGCUCAACAGCACCACUCAGAUGCAAACAGCAAGGCCUAGAUAGUGUUCACAUCUCCCAUGGCUUGACACUGUGCUGGGUUUGAUACUACAAACCAGGAGGCUGGGACUUGAACUUGAGAUCACUGACUCAGGCUAGAGAGGACUCCAGGGUACCUGAGCUCAGCUGCAAAGGCAGAAACUGAACCACAGUGAGCAGAAGGGGCACAUUUUGCUGUUUCUUUCCUUUUCUGCUCUCAGGCCUUUCAAUGAACUCUACAGAUGAGGAUCUUUCCUCCCAGGCUUAGUGUCUGCAGCCAUGAGGGUCCUCUACAGGGGACUCAAAACCCCAGAAGAGUCUUCAGAAGGAAAGUGCUACACACUGCACUGUCCCCAGCACUCUGAAAAACAGAGACCCUUUUGGGGUUUGGGCCAGUCAGUGCUCAAUAGUUAGCUUCUGGCUGCACUGGGUGCUCACAAAUAACACAGCAGCCUGAGUCCUGUGACCUGGCUGUCACAGACUGUGAUUGAGAGUAUAUUUUAACUGUGUCAGCAUAACCACUCUGUUCCUUCUGGUUCCAGGUUGCACAGAGCUCCUUGUCCUCAUACACGCCUGUUCCAUCAUUGGACCUUAAUAUUUAAAGUGAGCCCUACACUCAGGAUGGACUUGGUUUUCUACAAAAACCUGCCAACCUGUGUGUGUAAAGAGGGGGAGGGGAGGGAUGGAAGGAUGGAGAGAGAGGGAGAGAGAUGGAUGGAGAGAAAGACAGAACAAGAGAGAGAGAGCAAGAGUGAGAGCAAGAGCAAGCGAGAGAGAGAGACAGAGAGAGAGAGACAGAGAUAAUAUGCACUAGCCACCAAAGAAGCAUUCCUGUAUUCUUCAUUAGCCUUACAGCUUUUUCUCUCUUCCCUGAUUAUUGCCUUUUGUGCUGUGUUGGGUAUUUUGUAAAGAAAUGCUUGACUGUCUCUUCCUUUCUGUUAAUCUGGGGCUUGGUUCUUUUUUUCUUUGUUACCAUGGAGAUCAUACCGAAAAUGCUAAAAUACUACCAAUCCUAUGUGAACUGUAUUACUGCUAUUUUGACAGCCCUGACCAACUUCUUCAGUUACUGAUGUCAAUGAAGGAGAUGUCUGUGUACAUGAGCCUCGGUGGCACUGCUGUUUGUGGUCAUAUAACAUGGCAUCUCUCACAUCUUGGAGGAAGCAGAAGUUCACCUUGCCUUUGGGGAUUUUCCGGGGAUCACCUGUU